rnacentral:tRNA from 1 species
AGUUAUAGCUUAGUGGUAGCAUGUUUGCCUGGCAUGCACAAGAUCCUGGGUUCAAUCCCCAGGACUG